GACGAACGCUGGCGGCGUGCUUAACACAUGCAAGUCGAACGGAAAGGCCCGGCGCUUGUUGGUUUCUCGAUUGGCGCGCGGGUGAGUGACACGUGAGUAACCCGCCCUUGUCUUUGGGAUAUCUUCAGGAAACUGGGGCGAUUAUCGGAUAGGAUCUCCUGCUCCAUGGGGGUGGUUGGUGAGUGUCGGCGGUGGUGGCUGUACUGGCGGCUUAUCAGCUUGUUUGGCUAGUAGUUGCUUACCAAGGGUUUGACGGCUAGCCGGCAUGAGAGGGUGACCGGCGACCUGGGGACUGAGAGACGGAGCAGAAGGCUACGGGAGGCAGCAGUGGGGAACAUUGCACAGUGGGCGGAAGCCUGAGGUAGAAACGCCGCGUGCGUGAUGCCGGCCUACGGGUUGUAAACCACUUUCGAAGGUGACGAAGAGUGCGUGACGGUAAUGGGUAAAGAAGCAACGGCUAACUACGUG
rnacentral:rRNA from 1 species